rnacentral:rRNA from 1 species
GGAGGGGACCGUAAGGGGGCUCUAUCGGGGGGGGGGUUUCAAUAAUACAUGCAAGUUGAGCGCUGAAGGUUGGUACUUGUACCGACUGGAUGAGCAGCGAACGGGUGAGUAACGCGUGGGGAAUCUGCCUUUGAGCGGGGGACAACAUUUGGAAACGAAUGCUAAUACCGCAUAAAAACUUUAAACACAAGUUUUAAGUUUGAAAGAUGCAAUUGCAUCACUCAAAGAUGAUCCCGCGUUGUAUUAGCUAGUUGGUGAGGUAAAGGCUCACCAAGGCGAUGAUACAUAGCCGACCUGAGAGGGUGAUCGGCCACAUUGGGACUGAGACACGGCCCAAACUCCUACGGGAGGCAGCAGUAGGGAAUCUUCGGCAAUGGACGAAAGUCUGACCGAGCAACGCCGCGUGAGUGAAGAAGGUUUUCGGAUCGUAAAACUCUGUUGGUAGAGAAGAACGUUGGUGAGAGUGGAAAGCUCAUCAAGUGACGGUAACUACCCAGAAAGGGACGGCUAACUACGUGCCAGCAGCCGCGGUAAUACGUAGGUCCCGAGCGUUGUCCGGAUUUAUUGGGCGUAAAGCGAGCGCAGGUGGUUUAUUAAGUCUGGUGUAAAAGGCAGUGGCUCAACCAUUGUAUGCAUUGGAAACUGGUAGACUUGAGUGCAGGAGAGGAGAGUGGAAUUCCAUGUGUAGCGGUGAAAUGCGUAGAUAUAUGGAGGAACACCGGUGGCGAAAGCGGCUCUCUGGCCUGUAACUGACACUAAAGACUUCAAAAAGGGGAGAUUUGGAACGCG